AGAGUUUGAUCCUGGCUCAGAAUCAACGCUGGCGGCGCGCUUAACACAUGCAAGUCGAGCGAGAAAGGGGAGCAAUCCCUGAGUACAGCGGCGUACGGGUGAGUAACACGUGGGUAAUCUACCUCUUUGUGGGGAAUAACCCUGGGAAACCGGGGCUAAUACCGCAUAAGCCUGAGAAGGGAAAGCAGCAAUGCGCAGAGAGAGGAGCCCGCGGCCGAUUAGCUAGUUGGUGAGGUAACGGCUCACCAAGGCGACGAUCGGUAGCCGGCCUGAGAGGGCACACGGCCACACUGGCACUGAAACACGGGCCAGACUCCUACGGGAGGCAGCAGUGGGGAAUCUUGCACAAUGGAGGCAACUCUGAUGCAGCGACGCCGCGUGAGCGAUGAAGCCCUUCGGGGUGUAAAGCUCUUUCGGCAGGAACGAUAAUGACGGUACCUGAAGAAGAAGCUGCGGCUAACUACGUGCCAGCAGCCGCGGUAAUACGUAGGCAGCGAGCGUUGUUCGGAAUUACUGGGCGUAAAGAGUGUGUAGGCGGUGCUCUAAGUUCGGUGUGAAAUCUCCCGGCUUAACUGGGAGGGUGCGCCGGAAACUGGAGUGCUCGAGCGUGGGAGAGGAAAGCGGAAUUCCUGGUGUAGCGGUGAAAUGCGUAGAUAUCAGGAGGAACACCUGUGGUGUAGACGGCUUUCUGGACCAUAGCUGACGCUGAGACACGAAAGCGUGGGUAGCAAACAGGAUUAGAUACCCCCGUAGUCC
rnacentral:rRNA from 1 species